rnacentral:rRNA from 1 species
UACGUAGGGUGCGAGCGUUGUCCGGAAUUAUUGGGCGUAAAGAGCUUGUAGGCGGUUUGUCGCGUCUGCUGUGAAAAUCCGGGGCUCAACCCCGGACUUGCAGUGGGUACGGGCAGACUAGAGUGUGGUAGGGGAGACUGGAAUUCCUGGUGUAGCGGUGGAAAUGCGCAGAUAUCAGGAGGAACACCGGUGGCGAAGGCGGCGAUCUGGGUCGAUACUGACGCUGGAGGCACG